rnacentral:rRNA from 1 species
AUUGAACGCUGGCGGCAGGCCUAACACAUGCAAGUCGAGCGAGCGGCGGACGGGUGAGUAAUGUAUGGGGACUGCCCGAUAGAGGGGGAUAACUACUGGAAAAGGUGGCUAAUACCGCAUACUGUCGUAUAACCCAUAUGGGAUUAGCUAGUAGGGGAGGUAAUGGCUUACCUAGGCGACGAUCCCUAGCUGGUCUGAGAGGAUGACCAGCCACACUGGUACUGAGACACGGCCCAGACGCCUACGGAGGCAGCAGUGGGGAAUAUUGCACAAUGGGCGCAAGCCUGAUGCAGCCAUGCCGCGUGUAUGAAGAAGGCCCUAGGGUUGUAAAGUACUUUCAGUCGGGAGGCGUUACCGACAGAAGAAGCACCGGCUAACUCCGUGCCAGCAGCCGCGGUAAUAC